CCAGACUCCUACGGGAGGCAGCAGUGGGGGAUAUUGCACAAUGGGGGAAACCCUGAUGCAGCGACGCCGCGUGGGUGAAGAAGUAUUUCGGUAUGUAAAGCCCUAUCAGCAGGGAAGAAAGAAGACGGUACCUGACUAAGAAGCCCCGGCUAACUACGUGCCAGCAGCCGCGGUAAUACGUAGGGGGCGAGCGUUAUCCGGAUUCACUGGGUGUAAAGGGAGCGUAGACGGCCGUGCAAGCCAGGAGUGAAAGCCCGGGGCCCAACCCCGGGACUGCUCUUGGAACUGUGCGGCUGGAGUGCGGGAGGGGCAGGCGGAAUUCCUAGUGUAGCGGUGAAAUGCGUAGAUAUUAGGAGGAACACCAGUGGCGAAGGCGGCUUACUGGACUGUAACUGACGUUGAGGCUCGAAAGCGUGGGGAGCAAACAGGAUUAGAUACCCCGGUA
rnacentral:rRNA from 1 species